rnacentral:rRNA from 1 species
UGAGGAAUAUUGGUCAAUGGGCGAGAGCCUGAACCAGCCAAGUCGCGUGAGGGAAGACGGUCCCAUGGAUUGUAAACCUCUUUUGCCGGGGAGCAAAGAGCGGCACGUGUGCCGCGCCGAGAGUACCCGGAGAAAAAGCAUCGGCUAACUCCGUGCC